CCGAACCUGUCAAUUCAAAACUUACAGGGCUAAAUUGUAAUUCAAAAAGAGUUAACGCUUUGAAAUGCGAAGUUAAGUUAGGACAGAGCACCGUUAAGCAACCGCACUACUGAUCAGCUCGCCGCCGCAAUGAUCUAAAACCGUCCAUUCGAGGGCAAAAGCCGCGAAUCCAUGGACUCAUCAUCUCGUCUCCGACAUUCUCCGCUCUAUCCCCAGAUUCUUCUUCAUCUCUCCACCUUCCAUCGGUCGUCAAAACGGUUUCCGUCACCGAUCACCGUUAAAACAGAGAAACCUCCGUGAACAAUCAGUACGACGCCGUUUAAUCUGAUGCUUGCUUCAGGAUCAAGAUGUAGAAGAAGUGAAAAAAAAAAAAACAGAAAAGCUAUUUUGUACAGCUUUCAGCUUUCUUUCCAGACGCCUCUAAGGCGGAAGAUUUCUUUCACAAAUUCGACCAAAUGGACGACACCUCAAUUUUUGAUGCUUUAACUCUACUGCUGGAUGAAUUGACAUUCACAAAAGCUCAGACUAUUAGAAAGUUUCUCGAGAGAAUUGGUGCAAAUCAUCAACUUUUCGACUUCCUGCGCAUACUUUCUACAAAAUGUGCCCCUACAAACUGUUCGGUAUCUUCUGGAACAGCUUUUUAGCAGCACCUCUGCUGACACGCAGUUGAAGGCUUCUUUCAUCAAACUUCUUCUGGUAAGAACAAAUGCAGAGAAACAUGCAGGCAUCCUCUAAUUAUUAUCCUUGCGUAUAAUUUUUUGUUGUUCCGUUUGAUAUCCGUCCUUUGUUCAUUUAAGGUGUUCUGUUGUGCACUAAUGUUCCAUAAUCCAUAAAACAUUUAAAUUACACAAGCUGUUGAUGGAAAAUAUGAUACCCAGCCAGAAGAUACGCAUGUGGUUUUUCGUUUUCCAUCCAUCUGUGAUCCAUGCAGAGAUCAGCAAAAUGAUAAAUGCUACAAGAGAAGCUGGGGGUGUAGAUCAACGGGAAGUAGAUCACUCACUGAUUGUCCAGAUUAACAUGAUAGUGUUCCUGAUCCAUGUUCUUGCACAUGACCCGGAUUUCCCUUCAGAAGACUGCAUGGAUGAGCAUGUAUAUGCUCGGUUUUGUGGCCCUAUGUUGUCGGUGUUACUUAGUAACAAGGAAACCGUCCUUAUCUUGUUUUCUAUCUUACGGGCAAUUAAAAGAGCUGAAGAUGCUUGUAAAACUCCGUUAAGUUUGACGUGGUAGCACUGAAUAAACGUGAAAUCCGGCCUGGUGGAUUGAGGGGAAACCACAGAGACACCAUACAUAUAAUGAGACGUUCGUCAAUGUGAGGAGCCAGCCAGCCAGCCAAGACAAUGGGAGAACGGAGUUCCCAAUGAGUUGAUUGUGGGGACGAGGAAGAGAUCUUCUGUUCAGAGUGGAGGUGGAAGCUUUUAGUAGUGAGAAGAUAUUCCUACCAAGUCUGUAUUUGGGAGUCGGAUGGUGAAAAGCUGGGGAUAUCACUUGUGUCAUGUUCAGUAUCCAUAUGAUAGAAGAAAGAGAUAUCAAGAUGUGAAAUAUUGUAGGUUUUUUUUUUUUGUUUUUCUUUUGGGUGUGUGUUUGUGGUUGAUGCAUUGACAUGAGAUUAUCAGGUUGUACCAUGUUUUGUUCUGCUCUCAUUAUUUCAAAAGCAGAACAUGUGCGCAACCUUGUUCAUAAACUGUUGCAAAUGUUAUUGUGAUGCUCCGUUUUUUGCACGAGAAACCAGUGAAGUGAAUGAGCACACAAUCAUAAGUAGUAAUAUUUUUGAGAUA